rnacentral:rRNA from 1 species
UACAGAGGGCGCGAGCGUUGUCCGGAAUCACUGGGCGUAAAGGGCGCGUAGGUGGCCACUAUAAGGCUGCGGUGAAAGUUCGGGGCUCAACCCCGAAUCUGCCGCGGCGACUGUAGGGCUUGGGCACCGUAGAGGCAGAUGGAAUUCCGGGUGUAGCGGUGGAAUGCGUAGAGAUCCGGAAGAACACCAGUGGCGAAGGCGGAUCUGCUGGGCGGUGGGGAGCGCAAGCUCCGUCUUAGCCGACACUGAGGCGCGACAGCGUGGGGAGCAAACAGG